ACUAACGACUCUCGGCAACGGAUAUCUCGGCUCACGCAUCGAUGAAGAACGUAGCAAAAUGCGAUACUUGGUGUGAAUUGCAGAAUCCCGUGAACCAUCGAGUUUUUGAACGCAAGUUGCGCCCGAAGCCUUUUGGCCGAGGGCACGUCUGCCUGGGCGUCACGC
rnacentral:rRNA from 1 species